CCAUGCAUGUCUCAGUGCAAGCCAAAGUAAGGUGAAACCGCGAAUGGCUCAUUAAAUCAGUUAUGGUUCCUUAGAUCGUACCAAGUUACUUGGAUAACUGUGGUAAUUCUAGAGCUAAUACAUGCAAACAGAGUCCCGACCAGAAAUGGAAGGGACGCUUUUAUUAGAUCAAAACCAAUCGGUCGGCUCGUCCGGUCCGUUUGCCUUGGUGACUCUGAAUAACUUUGGGCUGAUCGCACGGUCCUGGUACCGGCGACGCAUCUUUCAAAUGUCUGCCUUAUCAACUGUCGAUGGUAGGUUCUGCGCCUACCAUGGUUGUAACGGGUAACGGGGAAUCAGGGUUCGAUUCCGGAGAGGGAGCCUGAGAAACGGCUACCACAUCCAAGGAAGGCAGCAGGCGCGCAAAUUACCCACUCCCGGCACGGGGAGGUAGUGACGAAAAAUAACGAUACGGGACUCAUCCGAGGCCCCGUAAUCGGAAUGAAUACACUUUAAAUCCUUUAAUGAGUAUCCAUUGGAGGGCAAGUCUGGUGCCAGCAGCCGCGGUAAUUCCAGCUCCAAUAGCGUAUAUUAAAGUUGUUGCGGUUAAAAAGCUCGUAGUUGGAUUUGUGUCCCACGCUGUCGGUUCAUCGCUCGUCGGUGUCUAACUGGCAUGAUUUGUGGGACGUCCUGCCGGUGGUGGCGAGUCGAAGGCGUGCACCCGUUGUGGUUUCCACUUCGGUUCUUGCGCGCCGGAGGCGGACCCCGAUGAAAUCCUACCGCGGUGCUCUUCGCCGAGUGUCGAGGUGGGCCGGCACGUUUACUUUGAACAAAUUAGAGUGCUUAAAGCAGGCCUGUUGCGCCUGAAUACUGUGUGCAUGGAAUAAUGGAAUAGGACCUCGGUUCUAUUUUGUUGGUUUUCGGAACCCGAGGUAAUGAUUAAUAGGGACAGGCGGGGGCAUUCGUAUUGCGACGUUAGAGGUGAAAUUCUUGGAUCGUCGCAGACGGACCCGAAGCGAAAGCAUUUGCCAAGUAUGUUUCAUUAAUCAGAACGAAAGGUAGA
rnacentral:rRNA from 1 species